GCCGUUGUAGCUCAAAGCAGAGCGCCGCCCAUUUAAGGCGGGUCAACAUUGAUGAUACAUCCACGUUGCAGGUGUCUGUGAUCAAUCACCGCAGAGGGCUGGCGUGGUUUGGUGCCGGUUCAAAUCCGGCCAACGGCUCCA
rnacentral:tRNA from 1 species